UGCUCAGUAGUCGGUGUAGAAUCUGUCUGACAUUGAUACCAACAGCUACAUCUGAUUACUGGGUCAC
rnacentral:pre_miRNA from 1 species